ACAUUUGUAGUGUCAACAAUGUCCAACAGAUGGCGGCGUUUUCCAGUUCCAGUAAUUGACGUCCAUUGAGGGAAAAAAAUGUACGCGACUCGCCCUUAAUCACUUCCGGUGUAAACAGAAGAAGCCUGAAAGUCAGGUUGGAGCUGGAGAGAUAAAGAGGUGCCAUUAUCUACAAAAGAAGAAAAGACGAGAGAGAGAGAGAUGACUGAAUGAUAGCAUCGCCGCAUUGCUCUAUUGAUGGACAGUCUGUCUUCAGCCCCUUCAUGACCACGCUCGCCAUUUCCUGCAACAUCGCAAACCCAAUCUCGGCUCAUCUGAUGAAAAGAAAAAUCUCAAUGAUUUUCUUCCAGGUUUCAGUCCCUGGUGUGACGGACUGGAGGAGAUGGACACAUCUCUUAAUCACAGAGCGGUGGCCAAACAGAGGCUGCAGGAAGACAGACUCAUUAUCAACAAGCCCCCGUGUCCAGCGAGACCACCUCCAGAACCCGAGGGAAUUGAGCAAACACCCGGCCUGA
rnacentral:lncRNA from 1 species